AACGAACGCUGGCGGCAUGCCUAACACAUGCAAGUCGAACGAGACCUUCGGGUCUAGUGGCGCACGGGUGCGUAACGCGUGGGAACCUGCCCUUAGGUUCGGAAUAACUCCCCGAAAGGGGUGCUAAUACCGGAUAAUGUCUUCGGACCAAAGAUUUAUCGCCUUUGGAUGGGCCCGCGUUGGAUUAGCUAGUUGGUAGGGUAAAAGCCUACCAAGGCGACGAUCCAUAGCUGGUCUGAGAGGAUGAUCAGCCACACUGGGACUGAGACACGGCCCAGACUCCUACGGGAGGCAGCAGUGGGGAAUAUUGGACAAUGGGCGAAAGCCUGACCCAGCAAUGCCGCGUGAGUGAUGAAGGCCUUAGGGUUGUAAAGCUCUUUUACCCGGGAUGAUGAUGACAGUACCGGGAGAAUAAGCUCCGGCUAACUCCGUG
rnacentral:rRNA from 1 species